GAAACACAGCCUUACAGGACUGGGCAUGCAAGUCACACAGGCCCUCUCCUUUGACUUACAGCUAUUCUGCGAACUUGUUGGAUGAUAUCUUUCACCAUUCCCUUCCAUUUACGAAGAGCUCCCUGGACCCUCAGAAUACAGGCAGGUCAUUCAGGAGCAACCCGCACCCAAUCCAUCCGAGCUCCAUACCCAGCAGGGCAAGGGAAGCCAGACUCCAGCACCAACCUUUGCUCAGAGAUACUAGAACAGACAGGAGAUGGGCAAUGCAUACAAAAAACCUAUCCACAGAUUUGUGUAAAAUAAUUACAUAAAAUAAAUAAAUAAAUAAAUAAAUAAAUCUACA
rnacentral:lncRNA from 1 species